rnacentral:rRNA from 1 species
UACGUAGGGGGCAAGCGUUGUCCGGAAUCAUUGGGCGUAAAGAGCGUGUAGGCGGCUCGAUAAGUCUGCUGUGAAAGUCCAGGGCUCAACCCUGGAAGGCCGGUGGAAACUGUCGGGCUAGAGUCCGGAAGAGGCGAGUGGAAUUCCCGGUGUAGCGGUGAGAUGCGCAGAUAUCGGGAGGAACACCAAUGGCGAAGGCAGCUCGCUGGGACGGUACUGACGCUGAGACGCGAAAGCGUGGGGAGCAAACAGG